GAUGAACGCUGGCGGCGUGCCUAAUACAUGCAAGUCGAGCGAACGGACGAGAAGCUUGCUUCUCUGAUGUUAGCGGCGGACGGGUAAGUAACACGUGGAUAACCUACCUAUAAGACUGGGAUAACUUCGGGAAACCGGAGCUAAUACCGGAUAAUAUUUUGAACCGCAUGGUUCAAAAGUGAAAGACGGUCUUGCUGUCACUUAUAGAUGGAUCCGCGCUGCAUUAGCUAGUUGGUAAGGUAACGGCUUACCAAGGCAACGAUGCAUAGCCGACCUGAGAGGGUGAUCGGCCACACUGGAACUGAGACGCGGUCCAGACUCCUACGGGAGGCAGCAGUAGGGAAUCUUCCGCAAUGGGCGAAAGCCUGACGGAGCAACGCCGCGUGAGUGAUGAAGGUCUUCGGAUCGUAAAACUCUGUUAUUAGGGAAGAACAUAUGUGUAAGUAACUGUGCACAUCUUGACGGUACCUAAUCAGAAAGCCACGGCUAACUACGUG
rnacentral:rRNA from 1 species